UACAGAGGGGGCAAGCGUUGUUCGGAAUUACUGGGCGUAAAGUGUGCGCAGGUGGCCGCGCAAGUCGAGUGUGAAAUCCCCCGGGCUUAACUUGGGAAUUGCGCUCGAAACUACGUGGCUCGAGUAUGGCAGAGGAAGGUGGAAUUCCACGUGUAGCGGUGAAAUGCGUAGAGAUGUGGAGGAACACCGAUGGCGAAGGCAGCCUUCUGGGCCAAUACUGACGCUCAUGCACGAAAGCGUGGGGAGCAAACAGG
rnacentral:rRNA from 1 species